UUUGUUGACGUGGCGUUUGUAGACGUGGCGUUUGUUGAAGUGGCGUUUGUUGACGUGGCGUUUGUUGACGUGGCGUUGGUUGAAGUGGCGUUUGUUGACGUGGCGUUUGUUGAAGUGGCGUUUGUUGAAGUGGCGUUUGUUGACGUGGCGUUGUAGACGUGGCGUUUGUUGAAGUGGCGUUUGUUGAAGUGGCGUUUGUUGACGUGGCGUUUGUUGACGUGGCGUUUGUUGAAGUGGCGUUUGUUGAAGUGGCGUUUGUUGACGUGGCGUUUGUUGACGUGGCGUUGGUUGAAGUGGCGUUUGUUGACGUGGCGUUUGUUGAAGUGGCGUUUGUUUGAAGUGGCGUUUGUUGACGUGGCGUUGGUUGAAGUGGCGUUUGUUGACGUGGCGUUUGUUGAAGUGGCGUUUGUUGAAGUGGCGUUUGUUGACGUGGCGUUUGUUGACGUGGCGUUUGUUGAAGUGGCGUUUGUUGAAGUGGCGUUUGUUGACGUGGCGUUUGUAGACGUGGCGUUUGUUGAAGUGGCGUUUGUUGAAGUGGCGUUUGUUGAAGUGGCGUUUGUUGACGUGGCGUUUGUUGACGUGGCGUUUGUUGAAGUGGCGUUUGUUGAAGUGGCGUUUGUUGAAGUGCGUUUGUUGACGUGGCGUUUGUUGACUGGGCGUUUGUUGAAGUGGCGUUUGUUGACGUGGCGUUUGUUGAAGUGGCGUUUGUAGACGUGGCGUUUGUUGAAGUGGCGUUUGUUGAAGUGGCGUUUGUUGACGUGGCGUUUGUUGACGUGGCGUUUGGUAGACGUGGCGUUU
ensembl:lncRNA